UGAACUCAACGAAGUACCGUACUCAACGUGAUACGCAAGACGAAACAUCUUCAUCAUCAGAGACUACGCCGACAAGUUUGACGAGAAAAUCGAAACCACCAUUUGUGGCACGUAAAGGCGGCAAGUCCGGCACCAGUGGCAAACGUCAUGUUCGCAGUUCCAGCGGUUAUUCGAGUCACAACGAAGAAACUACGUUUAGCAUAUCCAACUAUCCUCCAAAUUAUCAGGAUCACAUAAAUCCCCCGGCGCGUUUUUCAGACAUCAACGACAAAUCAAAAACACAAACUUCACCACGGGUGCGGGGAAAUCAGAAGUUACAACGGGAGGCAUUUCAAAUCAAUGUGUAACAAAAACGAACUAACAUAAGUUUCAGGAAUGAGCAUUCAAAUUAAAUAGCGAAUUAAGUUGAAAGAAGCGAUGUAAUACUACGUUCAAAUUGACGAGCUAAACAUGUUAAAUGGGCUUGAACCAGUUAA